UCUCCCUUCUGGCCGUUUCUUCUCGCUCCUCUCCGCGACUCACCACUUUGGUCGGCGACGAGUUCGUCGUUUCCGGCAACUACAAGCCAACAAACCACCGGAAAGAAACCCUCUCCUUACAUUCAAUAUAACCCUUAAAUCUAUUUCUAAAAAUUCUCAUCCAUUUUUAUUUAUUAAGUUGGUGCCCAAGGCGAACCGUUUCCGGCUGAACGCCGACGAAUUGGACCUCACCGUUACAACCAAUCGUCUACCCUUCAUCUCAGAAAUCAAAAUCACCCGUUGCAUGCCUCGAUUCAUUACGGUUUAAGGUGAAUCAAAGGUGGUACUCGGAGAAGUUUGUGAAGGGCCAAUGGGAAAAGGGGAUUGCAUUUCAGAUUGGCAGAAAUACAAAGCCUGCCUCUCUAGAUUGUAUUAAUUUUCCUUUGACUAGGAAUUUGGGGUUUCUCAGAGUUUUCAUUCGCCGGACAAUGAUAGGCGAAUCACCAUAAGAAGCAGCAAUUCUGUUGCAAACUGAAUCCGGGAUGACUAACCUAGAGUCUCAACCAAUUGAAAACUCUUGCAGAGGAAGACUCAGAAAAGAAAACCCCUCUACAUAAUGAAGAUAGAGAUGAGCUCGAGAAUAAUGUAGGAAAAUCUACAUCCCAGUAACAUGUUCAUAAUCGAUGGACAAUAUUUCGAGCGAUGAGCGGUUGAAUAAUUCCAAUCUUUUGAUCUGUGUAACAUGGUGCUAAGUUAGCCUCCUCAAACAGUAGAUAUGUAUAUAUGUAAAUAGCACAAGACUUACUAUAACAUGAAAAGCAGCAUAUAAAGUAUGUUAUAAAUGUAAACAACACCGUAAAUAGUAUCAGCUUUUGUAAUUGACACUAAAAAAAUAUCA